rnacentral:rRNA from 1 species
UACGUAGGCAGCGAGCGUUGUUCGGAGUUACUGGGCGUAAAGCGUGCGCAGGCGGCUUUGCAAGACAGAUGUGAAAUCCCCGGGCUUAACCUGGGAACUGCAUUUGUGACUGCAUGGCUGGAGUGCGGCAGAGGGGGAUGGAAUUCCGCGUGUAGCAGUGAAAUGCGUAGAUAUGCGGAGGAACACCGAUGGCGAAGGCAAUCCCCUGGGCCUGCACUGACGCUCAUGCACGAAAGCGUGGGGAGCAAACAGG